rnacentral:rRNA from 1 species
AGAGUUUGAUCAUGGCUCAGAACGAACGCUGGCGGCAGGCUUAACACAUGCAAGUCGAGCGCACCUUUUAGGUGAGCGGCAGACGGGUGAGUAAUGCGUGGGAAACUACCCAUCACUACGGAAUAACAUAGAGAAAUUUAUGCCAAUACCGUAUACGUCCGAGAGGAGAAAGAUUUAUCGGUGAUGGAUGUGCCCAUGUUGGAUUAGCUAGUUGGUAGGGUAAUGGCCUACCAAGGCGACGAUCUAUAGCUGGUCUGAGAGGAUGAUCAGCCACACUGGGACUGAGACACGGCCCAGACUCCUACGGGAGGCAGC